rnacentral:rRNA from 1 species
AUUGAACGCUGGCGGCAGGCUUAACACAUGCAAGUCGAGCGGAGACUUCGGUCUUAGCGGCGAACGGGUGAGUAAUACCUAGGAAUCUGCCUAUUAGUGGGGGAUAACGAAUCGAAAGGUUCGCUAAUACCGCAUACGUCCUACGGGAGAAAGAGGGGGAUCUUCGGACCUCUUGCUAAUAGAUGAGCCUAGGCCGGAUUAGCUAGUUGGUAGGGUAAAGGCCUACCAAGGCGACGAUCUGUAGCUGGUCUGAGAGGAUGGCCAGCCACACUGGAACUGAGACACGGUCCAGACUCCUACGGGAGGCAGCAGUGGGGAAUAUUGGACAAUGGGGGCAACCCUGAUCCAGCCAUGCCGCGUGUGUGAAGAAGGCCUCGGUUGUAAGUACGACUUAAGUACGAGGAGGAAGGUACGACUGUACUAAUAUUAUAGUGAAUUAGUACGUUACUUACGCAGAAUAAAGACACCGGACGUAACUACCUGUGUCCAG